UCGUGGGAGCCUUAAUACCCUAAAAGCACCAGAUUCUAUCUGCUCUUGGAAGCUAAGCAGGGUCAGCCCAGGUUAGUACUUGGUUGGGAGACUGCCAAUGAAGACCAGGUGCUGUGUGCU
rnacentral:rRNA from 1 species